rnacentral:rRNA from 1 species
UCAAUGCGCGAAGCGUGAUAGGGGGAGUCUGAGUGGCGAAGGCAAAGCUUUCGUCUUUUGCUAAGUGUAAACAGCUUGGCGAAUAAGGGUGUGGGCAAGACUGGUGGCAGCCGCCGCGGUAACACCAGCGCCUCGAGUGGUAUCCACGAAUAUUGGGCCUAGAGCGUCCGUAGCCGGACUAUUAAGUCCGCUGUGAAAUGUUGGGGCUCAACCCUAACGCUUGCAGUGGAUACUGAUUGUCUUGGGAACGGGGGAGGAUCGGAGUACUUCCGGGGUAGGGGUAAAAUCCGUUGAGCCUGGAAGGACUACCAGUGGCGAAGGCGCCGAUCCAAAACGUAUCCGACGGUGAGGGACGAAAGCUGGGGGAGCGAACGGGAUUAGAUACCCCGGUAGUCCCAGCUGUAAAUGAUGCAGACUGAGGUGUUACAUAUGAGUAAUCAUAUGUAGUGCUGUAGCGUAGGUGUUAAGUCUGCCGCCUGGGGAGUACGGUCGCAAGACUUAAACUUAAAGGAAUUGGCGGGGGAGCACCACAAGCCGUGGAUGCUACGGUUUAAUUGAUUCCCACCGCCGGAAA